UACGAAGGGGGCUAGCGUUGCUCGGAAUUACUGGGCGUAAAGGGUGCGUAGGCGGGUCUUUAAGUCAGAGGUGAAAUCCUGGAGCUCAACUCCAGAACUGCCUUUGAUACUGAGGAUCUUGAGUUCGGGAGAGGUGAGUGGAACUGCGAGUGUAGAGGUGAAAUUCGUAGAUAUUGGAAAGAACACCGAUGGCGAAGGCACUUUACUGGGCUAUUACUAACACUCAGAGACGAAAGCUAGGGUAGCAAAUGGG
rnacentral:rRNA from 1 species